rnacentral:piRNA from 1 species
AGUUAUUUGAUAUGAACUCAAUCCAGC